rnacentral:lncRNA from 1 species
CUUGGUGGAUCGUUUCUACGGUCAUCAGAACAUGCAGCCGGCUCCUCCCUGUCAAGUGUUUGCCUGUAGUCUACACCAAGGAGUGUUCCGUGCUUGGUGUUUGAAGCCUGGUACAGUUUUCCUGCUUUGUCAACACAUACAAAGAGCAGCCAGAGAGCCAUCUUUGGGUCAGAUAUGGGGUAAUUGUUGCACGAAAUUAACUAUUGCUUGGGAUGGCUAGAAAAUAAAUAUGCAUCAUGGCUGCGCCUGCUUCUAAGCAAGGUUCUUCCCUGCAAGUCUUCGUGGAGAGCUGGUCAUCUGUCCCUUCUGCUUUAAACCUACUAAUGGAAGGCUUUUCUCCUCCCUGCGGACACUGACAGAGAAUUUUCACCGAUUCUUCUGAGGUCUACUUUUGUAGGAAGGAAAUGUCGGUGCAGAAUAGCAAUUACAUAGACCCA